rnacentral:rRNA from 1 species
AACGAACGCUGGCGGCAUGCCUAACACAUGCAAGUCGAACGAGAUCUUCGGGUCUAGUGGCGCACGGGUGCGUAACGCGUGGGAAUCUGCCCUUUGGUUCGGAAUAACAGUUGGAAACGACUGCUAAUACCGGAUGAUGACGAAAGUCCAAAGAUUUAUCGCCAGAGGAUGAGCCCGCGUAGGAUUAGCCAGUUGGUGUGGUAAAGGCGCACCAAGGCGACGAUCCUUAGCUGGUCUGAGAGGAUGAUCAGCCAAACUGGGACUGAGACACGGCCCAGACUCCUACGGGAGGCAGCAGUGGGGAAUAUUGGACAAUGGGCGAAAGCCUGAUCCAGCAAUGCCGCGUGAGUGAUGAAGGCCUUAGGGUUGUAAAGCUCUUUUACCCGGGAUGAUAAUGACAGUACCGGGAGAAUAAGCUCCGGCUAACUCCGUGCCAGCAGCCGCAGUAA